GAUGAACGCUGGCGGCGUGCCUAAUACAUGCAAGUCGAGCGAACGGACGAGAAGCUUGCUUCUCUGAUGUUAGCGGCGGACGGGUGAGUAACACGUGGAUAACCUACCUAUAAGACUGGGAUAACUUCGGGAAACCGGAGCUAAUACCGGAUAAUAUUUUGAACCGCAUGGUUCAAAAGUGAAAGACGGUCUUGCUGUCACUUAUAGAUGGAUCCGCGCUGCAUUAGCUAGUUGGUAAGGUAACGGCUUACCAAGGCAACGAUGCAUAGCCGACCUGAGAGGGUGAUCGGCCACACUGGAACUGAGACACGGUCCAGACGCCGACGGGAGGCAGCAGUAGGGAAUCUUCCGCAAUGGGCGAAAGCCUGACGGAGCAACGCCGCGUGAGUGAUGAAGGUCUUCGGAUCGUAAAACUCUGUUAUUAGGGAAGAACAUAUGUGUAAGUAACUGUGCACAUCUUGACGGUACCGAAUCAGAAAGCCACGGCUAACUACGUG
rnacentral:rRNA from 1 species